CGGGGUGUGGCUCAGUUGGUAGAGCGCGCGGUUUGGGACCGUGAGGUCGGGGGUUCGAGACCCUCCACCCCGACCA
rnacentral:tRNA from 2 species